AAACUAAAGACACUGGAGGAUUUUUUUUUUUCCUCAAUAUAACUGGGAAAAAAAAAUCUAAAGUCAUUAUUGGAAUCCUGUGAAACAGGACUACACCCUUUCUGCAGACUUGUUGCACUCAGGUUCUUUGUCACUGGAUCCCAGGCUUAUCAGGUAGCGAGGACAGCCAGAACCAGCCAGCCUUAGUGGCUGUAUCUGCAGAGGAGCUGAAGGAUGGUCGCAGUGCAGCACCACACCACAAGAUGGCAAGAACCAGAAGCUGACCUCAAACCAGAAUUCAGAUAGAACAAUGAAAUUACAUUAAAAUUUGAGAUUCCAAACUACCAAACACGUAAUUUUAAUGAAACUGGG